GACGAACGCUGGCGGCGUGCUUAACACAUGCAAGUCGAGCGGUAAGGCCCUUUCGGGGGUACGACGAGCGGCGAACGGGUGAGUAACACGUGGGUGACCUGCCCUCAGCUCUGGGAUAAGCCCGGGAAACUGGGUCUAAUACCGGAUAUGACUUCAUGACGCAUGUUGUGGAGUGGAAAGCCUUGUGCGGCUGAGGAUGGGCCCGCGGCCUAUCAGCUUGUUGGUGGGGUGAUGGCCUACCAAGGCGACGACGGGUAGCCGGCCUGAGAGGGCGACCGGCCACACUGGGACUGAGAUACGGCCCAGACUCCUACGGGAGGGCAGCAGUGGGGAAUCUUGCGCAAUGGGCGAAAGCCUGACGCAGCGACGCCGCGUGAGGGAUGACGGCCU
rnacentral:rRNA from 1 species